rnacentral:rRNA from 1 species
UUUUAUGAGAGUUUGAUCCUGGCUCAGGACGAACGCUGGCGGCGUGCCUAAUACAUGCAAGUCGAACGCUUCUUUUUCCACCGGAGCUUGCUCCACCGGAAAAAGAAGAGUGGCGAACGGGUGAGUAACACGUGGGUAACCUGCCCAUCAGAAGGGGAUAACACUUGGAAACAGGUGCUAAUACCGUAUAACAAU